AAGGCUUUCUCCAACAACGAUAGCCAUUUUUGGAUAGGCAUUUGCAUAGAUGGCUAGUGUACAGUAGUUGCAUAGGGCACGCAAAAAAAAAUGUAUCUCCAACAGCCAACGCAAAAUGAAAUGCCUCUCUGUCCAACAGUUUACUUCCCGGGCAUUUUCACGCAAGGGUUUUCAUUCCCCGCGCUUUCUCCACUUUGGUAGCUCCCCAGGUCAGGUUGUGGCCGCCACCGCCGCAUCACGUUCCGCAGUCGCCGGACGGCCGGAGUGACCACUACCAGUGCGGCUUCCGAUCCUCUUCAGUUGUGCCGAGGUGGGCAUAGGAGAUUCGCGAGUUGCACUAUGGCAUGGAGGUACUUGAGCAUGUCCAUGUGUGGCUCGUCAGGAGGUGACUCGAGCGAGGAGGAGGAAAUCGAAGCAGCUACUCUAGUGGCAUCCAUUGGGUCGAAAUGGCGGUGGGGAGGCUCGGUUAUUAGGCACAAGACCUACAAGCGUGACCGACUUGCUAUACAGAUACAAUUGGACAAGGAUUAUUUUGGAGAGGAACCAUUCUACGAUGAGGAUCAAUUUCGCCGAAGGUUCCGCAUGAGGAAGAGUCUUUUCAUGCGCAUAGUUACUGAAGUCACAGCUGCUAACUCUUUCUUCGUCCAAAAAAAAUGCUGCUGGCAAGAUGGGUUUCUCUCCGCUUCACAAAUGCACGGCUGCUAUGAAGAUGCUUGCAUAUGGAACUGUAGCUGAUUCUUUUGAUGAUGUACUGAAGAUGGGAGAAAGCACUGUACUUCAGACAGUGAAGGAAUUUGUGAAAACAGUUCAUUCAGUGUA